rnacentral:rRNA from 1 species
CAGCCGCCGCGGUAACACGUAGGUGGCAAGCGUUGUCCGGAAUUAUUGGGCGUAAAGGGCUCGCAGGCGGUUUCUUAAGUCUGAUGUGGAAGCCCCCGGCUCAACCGGGGAGGGUCAUUGGAAACUGGGAAACUUGAGUGCAGAAGAGGAGAGUGGAAUUCCACGUGUAGCAGUGAAAUGCGUAGAGAUGUGGAGGAACACCAGUGGCGAAGGCGACUCUCUGGUCUGUAACUGACGCUGAGGAGCGAAAGCGUGGGGGGCGAACAGGAUUAGAUACCCCGGUAGUCCCUGUCUCUUAUAC